ensembl:lincRNA
ACUAAGGCCCCUAAGCAACUGCUUCACGGACAGGGCUGACAACCGGGACAGGCUCCUCCACCCAGGAUUAACAGGAUGCUUCCUAUCUACUCCAAAGCGGAAGCAGAACGUGCAACAAAGAGCGGGAGGAAGGGCGUCCUGCAGCUGCUACCACGACUCCAUGGAUAAGCUCCCGUCAGUGCCCGCCUGGUGCAUCUGUGAAGGAAACACUUUGCUCUGCACGGUGGUGACUGUGAUUCCCAGGGCUCAUUUCCUGGGCAUUGCCGACAUGCACUGUCUGCAGACGCUGCUGUGAACAAGUCAUGUGGUGAUAUACCCACCUCUGUGCCUGCGGUACGGUGGGAUUAAUAAUCAUGGAAGAUUCACGUCCUUUCCACCUCACAAGAGUGCGGCAGUCCCUCCCUCUUAAAUCAUCAGAAUCACUGUGGGAUACAUAACUUGAAUACCACUCUCAUCUCGGCCGUGAGCAGCGCAUGGAGUAAGCUCCCUCUCCUUUUGUUUCAGCUGGCUUGGUGCUCAUUCCUCCCCCAGCCUCAUCCAGAGGCAGCACCCCAUUAAAAUUCAUGAUGCUUCCCUCCAGGAAAAGUGUCUGAUUGCAACUGUCAGUGUCCCGGCUCCAGGACUUUCAUACCACGGAGGAAAAUGCAAGGCACUCGCCGCUAAGGAAACAGAUACUGAGACACCAAACAAACUAGACCACAACAGAACAGGAACUGAAGACAGAAUAUCCAACACUAAGAUGAUGCCUAAGGUCCCCAGGAGAGUGGAAAGCACCACUGUGUCACAGGCUGCAGUCGAGAUCCAGUUCGUAACGCCCACCUCUUCCCCUCCUCUCGACCCCACACACUUACGCCCUUCUCCUUCUGGCAAACAGGUACAGAAACGUUUCUUAAAAAAGGAGGAAGAACAGAACACUCCCACUUCUCAGUCCUCAGAAAGUCAAUGCAAUUCCGAAUGACUGCUGAAUUAUUAAAUAUAAUUAGAAAGGACCUAGAAUUUACAGGCUGCUAAACUCCAUGCCUACCCCAUUUUAUAAAUGUGAAACAGAAGUUCAGAGAAAUUAAAUGACUUUUUUCUAAGGCAUAAACGCAAUUCAAGGUUAGAAGACAUGGCCCCUGACUCCUAGGUGUUCCUUCCACCUCACACCUACAACAGCAAAGGGCAGAGUUAUGUCAGAGACACAUAACCAAACACCCAAGACGCAGCAAAUUUUUCCUCUAUUGCCCGGCAAAGACAAUAAAGGCAUCCUUGAAAAAUAAAAGAGUGGCCUGUAAAGUGAGGAGACUUGGACUCUAACUCCUGAAAUGUGUCCAGUAACUUUGAGAAAGCAAUUUUCCCCAUUCCGGGUCUUAAUUCUCUCACUCAUGAACAUACAGGCUUGGGAAGCCUGACCAUUUUUAUCUCUGCAUCUCACUGAUGCUUUACUUACCUCUGCUCUCUCCCUACCCCAACCCCGGCCACCCAUUCUGCUGCCCUCUUACACUGCGUUCUACUCACAGUGUUUCAGAAGGCUAACUCCAGUUGAUAUAGCACUGCAAUCUCUUUCUGUACCCCAGCAUUUAUUUUCUACAUCAAACAUACUGGAUAUGAGUUACUUCAACUGUUCAUCUUAGUUAGCUAAUUAAUUUCUGAACAAUUUUAUAAUAGUCUCUUUUUGUUGUUAAGCUGCCUUUAUUUGGAAGUACAUUGUCACCCACUACAGAAUUGCUGGUUGGCACCAAUUUUCUUUCAGCACUUUAAAAGAUUUAGUUCUCUUCUUGCUGUGACUAUUUCUACUUCAAAAUCUGCUGCACAUCUUCUUUUUUAAAGGUUGUCUGUUAUUUUUUCAUUACUUUUAAGAUUUUCUGUGUUUGGUUUUCUGCAGUUUGUCUAUAAAAUCUCCAGGUAUGUAUUUUUAAAUCUAUCCAGCUUCGGGUUUAUAAAGAUUCUUGAAUAUGCAGCUGAAUGUUCUUGUCAGUUUUUUUGAGAAGGGGCUUUGCCAUGUAGUUCAAGCCAACCUUUAACUCAUCAUAGAGCCCAGGCUGGCCUUGAACUGGCAGCAAUCCACCUGCCUCAGCCUCCUGAGUGCUGGGAUUACAGGUGUAUGCCACCACGCAGGGCUUGUAAUAAGCUCUAUUUUAUGUACAUGUCUUGUAGCAACAAGACUAAACUCCAUAGAGAGAUUUAGAUAACACAGAUUUCUAAGUUAUAGAGUUACAAGUUAUUACAGUUGAAAU